CCUACGGGUGGCUGCAGUGGGGAAUAUUGGACAAUGGGGGGAACCCUGAUCCAGCCAUGCCGCGUGUGUGAAGAAGGCCCUCGGGUUGUAAAGCACUUUCAGUGAGGAAGAACGCCUGUUGGUUAAUACCCAUCAGGAAAGACAUCACUCACAGAAGAAGCACCGGCUAAUUCCGUGCCAGCAGCCGCGGUAAUACGGAGGGUGCGAGCGUUAAUCGGAAUUACUGGGCGUAAAGCGCGCGUAGGUGGCUUGAUAAGCCGGUUGUGAAAGCCCCGGGCUCAACCUGGGAACGGCAUCCGGAACUGUCAAGCUAGAGUGCAGGAGAGGAAGGUAGAAUUCCCGGUGUAGCGGUGAAAUGCGUAGAGAUCGGGAGGAAUACCAGUGGCGAAGGCGGCCUUCUGGACUGACACUGACACUGAGGUGCGAAAGCGUGGGUAGCAAACAGGAUUAGAUACCCCAGUAGUC
rnacentral:rRNA from 1 species